rnacentral:lncRNA from 1 species
GUUUUGUUGGUGCUUUUUGUGCUUUUGAGCUUUGCAAAAAAUAAAGUAUAUGAAAUGGAAUGGGAUCAGAAUGAAGAAAGAGGUCAAAUGACACUUCAGGACCUCGGCUCUCAAAUUGCACCCUUGACCAUACAUGUUGUGAAUUUACCUCCAUUGGUCACUAAAGAAGAAAUAGCGGAGAAGUUUUGUAUUACACAAGACUGCAUCACCCUGAAGCAGAAGCCUGGCAAGAAGACUGCCUCUGCCAUCAUUGUUCCCUCCA